rnacentral:rRNA from 1 species
CCUACGGGAGGCAGCAGUGGGGAAUAUUGCGCAAUGGGCGAAAGCCUGACGCAGCAACGCCGCGUGGGUGAUGAAGGCCUUCGGGUCGUAAAGCCCUGUCAGAGGGGAAGAAACCUCCCUGUUGAAGGGAGCUGACGGUACCCUCGGAGGAAGCACCGGCUAACUCCGUGCCAGCAGCCGCGGUAAUACGGAGGGUGCAAGCGUUGUUCGGAAUCACUGGGCGUAAAGGGCGCGUAGGCGGUCUGGGAAGUCCGAUGUGAAAGCCCGGGGCUCAACUCCGGAAGUGCAUUGGAAACUCCCAGACUUGAGUUCGGGAGAGGAAGGCAGAAUUCCCGGUGUAGGGUUGAAAUCCGUAGAUAUCGGGAGGAAAACCGGUGGCGAAGGCGGCCUUCUGGAACGAAACUGACGCUGAGGCGCGAAAGCGUGGGGAGCAAACAGGAUUAGAGACCCUGGUAGUCCACGCGGUAAACGAUGGAUGCUGGGUGUGGGGUUCAAUUCGGAGCUCCGUGCCGAAGCUAACGCAUUAAGCAUCCCGCCUGGGGAGUACGGUCGCAAGACUAAAACUCAAAGGAAUUGACGG